rnacentral:lncRNA from 1 species
CUUCAACAGACACAAAUUUCAGAAUCUAUGGGUUCAGCCAACUUUGCUGGUAACUUUUCUCCAACCACUCACUUAAAGAAUGUAUCCUAUGGUGCCUGCAUGCUAACUAAAAUAAGUGACUGCAUUUGGAUUAUAGACUCUGGUGCCACUGAUCACAUGACCUCUAAUAAAGACCUUCUGUUUGACAUUAAGCCUUUAACUAUACCAUAUCUAGUUACCUUACCCAAUGGUUAUAAGGUUAAGGUAACCUGCACUGGGUCAAUUCAAUUUCUUUGUUUCACUCUACAUCAUGUCCUUUAUAUUCCCAGUUUUCAAUACAAUCUCAUCUCUGUGUCUAAAUUUGUGUGCCAGUUGAAUUCUAUUGUCAUAUUUACUAAAUUCUCUUGUUUAAUACAGGCCGAUUGCAAACAGCCUCUCUGCCCUUUCGGGUAGGGGUAAGGCUCGUCUACAUAUUACCCUCCCCAGACCCCGCUUUGUGGGACUAUACUGGGUAGUAGUAGUAGUAGUAGUUGUUGUUGUUGUAAUACAGGCCCCUUCUCUGAAGAGGCCACUAGAGAUUGGUAAAAAAAUUGAAUGAUGGUCUCUACAGGCUUGUUCAAUCUUCUUCUCUUCAAUCUAUUGAUCAUUGUAAAUCUCAUUCUCCAUUAACUGUUGGUUCUGUUUCUAACUCUCAUUGUACAUAUCAUUCUGAAUCUAAUAAAAUGGAGAUUUUAUGGCACAAUAGACUAGGGCAUAUACCUUUUGUUAGGAUGAAAGACAUGUCUUCUUUACCAUGUACAUUUUCCACAAAGCAGCCCUUCCUUUUCCCUAUAUGCCCUCUUGCCAGGAAAUCCAAACUACUUUUUCGUGAUAGCUCCAUUAAAACAACACAUCCCUUUCAACUGAUUCAUGUUGAUACAUGGGGUCCCUUUGCCACUCCUACUCACAAUGGUUGUAGAUACUUUCUCACAAUUAUUGAUGAUUUUACCAGAGCUACUUGGACCACCUUAUGGGGUCCAAAAACAAUGCCUUUCGCCUUAUCAAAGCCUUCAUUGCCAUGAUUAAAACUCAAUUUCAGUCUAUGGUACAAACCAUUAGGAGUGAUAAUGCCUUUGAACUUGGCUCUAGUAGCUGUGGCAGCAAUUUCUUUGCUGAAAAUGGUAUACUGCAUCAAACUUCCUGCUCUCACAUACCACAACAAAAUGGUGUAGUUGAGAGAUAGCAUAGAUAUCUGCUAAAAACCUCCAGGGCUUUACUCUUCCAUUCACAGCACCCUAUUAGAUUCUGGGGUGACUGUGUACUUACUGCAACCUACCUCAUUAACAGGUUUCCUUCCAAAAUUCUUCACAAUAAGUCCUCUUUUGAGUUGCUGUUUGGAAAACUUCCAUCCUAUAACCAUCUUUAAACUUUUGGUUGCCUCUGUUUUGCCUCAGUCCCUAAACAUAAUAGGGACAAAUUCCAACCCAGAGCUGAUCCCUGUGUUUUUAUGGGCUAUCCUUUGGGUAAAAAGGGUUACAAACUGUAUAACUUGAAGUCUAAAAUUACUCUAAUCUCCAGGGAUGUCAUUUUUCAUGAAGAUGUCUUUCCUUUUGCCUCUCCAGGAAACUCUUUCCAUGGUUCCUUUCCUCCUCCUACUCCUUCUUCUGCAUGUGUUCCUCCUGUUGAUGACUUUUUACCCUCUCCUCCCUAUUCUCUCACCCAGCAACCUCCUGCCUCCUCUUCCCCUUCCUCUUCCCCUUCACACAAUCUUUCAGUGCCUACCUCAUCUGCUCCCUAGAGAUCCACUAGUACACAUGUUCUUCCUGCUCACCUCCAGCAGUAUGUUUGCAAUCUUCCUCCUUCUAUCUCUGGCCCCUAUUCUUCUUCCACUUGUCUUCAUAGUUUAGUUAGCAUUACAGAGACUGAACCUUCCUCCUAUAAGCAGGGAGCCUCCAUUCCUGCUUGGCAGGAGGCAAUGGCCAAGAAAUUUGCUACCUUGGAGGCCAAUCAUACCUGGUCUCUAGUUCCCCUUCCCCCUGGCAAGAAACCUAUUGGUUGCAAGUGGGUUUAUAAGAUAAAAUAUUGGGCUGAUGGAUCUGUGGAGAGGCAUAUGGUCAGGCUGGUUGUUAGGGGUGACACCCAGAUUGAGGGGGUAUACUUUACUGAGACAUUCUCUCCUGUUGUCAAAUUUUCAACCAUUAAAUCCCUCAUUGAUGUGGCUGUCAAACAACAUUGGUCCCUUUUCCAACUUGAUGUCAAUAAUGCCUUCCUACAUGGUGACUUAGAUGAGGAAGUCUAUAUGAAAUUGCCUCCUGGUCUGGAAGUUGACGGUGCUACCUCUUCUUCUCCUUUGGUUUGUCUACUUCAGAAAUCUUUAUAUGGUUUAAGGCAAGCUGCUGAGGGAGUCUAUAUGAAAUUGCCUCCUGGUCUGGAAGUUGAUUGUGCUACCUGUUCUUCUUCUUUGGUUUGUCUACUUCAAAAAUCUUUAUAUGGCUUAAGGCAAGCUUCUAGGCAAUGGUAUGCCAAGCUGUCCCAGGCCUUAUGUUCUAAGGGCUUUUCUUCUUCUCUCAAUGAUUAUUCUCUUUUCUUUAAAAAAUAUGGCUCUUCUAUUGUUCUGUUGGCUGUAUAUGUUGAUGACAUCAUUCUUACUGGUAAUAAUCUGGAGGAGAUUACUGCCUUGAAAUGCUUUCUGGAUACUGAGUUUAAAAUCAAGGACUUGGGGUGCUUAACUACUUUUUGGAUAUUGAGGUCAGUUAUCUUCCUACUGAGAUUCUUCUCCACCAAAAGAAGUUUAUCACUGACCUACUCAAAUCUUAUCACUGUGAGGAUGUCUCCCCUGUUACUUGCCCUCUUGACCUCUCUGUUAAACUCAAGCUUGAUAUGGGUGAUCCCCUUCCCUCUCCUGAAUCCUAUAGGUGUCUAGUGGAAAAACUCAAUUUUCUCACCCACACUAGGCCUGACUUGGCCUUUGCUGUACAUCAUUUGAGUCAGCAUCUUCAGAAACCUACAUCCUCUCACAUGCUCAAUUUCUCACCCACACUAGACCUGACUUGGCCUUUGCUGUAUAGCAUUUGAGUCAGUAUCUUCAGAAACCUACAUCCUCUCACAUGCUUGCUGCUCUGCAUGCCCUGAGAUACCUUAGAGGCAUUUCUGAGUUUGGCAUUUUUCUCAGCAACUCUCCUGGUCUCUCCUUAUCUGCUUAUUGUGAUAGUGACUGGGCUUCGUGCCCAGACACCAGGAGGUCUGUUUCUGGCUUCUGUGUUCUCUUGGGUGGUUCUCUCAUUGGUUGGAAAGCUAAGAAACAGCCUGUGAUAUCUCUGUCUUCUGCUGAGGCUAAGUAUAGAGCCAUCAUCAAGGUUGUUGGUGAACUGACCUGGCUCAUUCGAUUGUUGUCUGAUUUUGGGUUUCCUGUUACCUCCCCUGUUCCAGUCUUUUGUGAUAACCAAGCAGCACUUCACAUUGUCAAGAAUCCAGUUUUCAUGAACGCACCAAACAUAUUGAAGUGGAUUGUCAUUUCAUUAGAGGCAAACAUCAUGAAGGCCUUGUUGAUUUGCACCAUGUCCCUACUACCUCUCAGCUUACGGAUAUCUUUACCAAACCCCUUACUGGUAUUUUGCAUCAUUCUAUCAUGCUCAAGUUGGGAGUUUAGUCACCCUCCAACUUGCAGGGGGGUGUUGGAGUUACAUUGGGCAUGCAGCCCAAUCCAGUGAAUUAGCCUCAACAACAAAGCAGCAGCCCAAACUUCCAGCUUGCAGGGAGGUGUUGGAGUUACAUUGGGCCUGCAGCCCAAUCUAGUGAAUCAGCCACAACAACAAAGCAGCAGCAGCCCAAACCAAGCCCAAGCUGCACCUUUAUUUAAUUCUGGCCCAAUGGCCCAAUGUGUUGUAAAAGAAAUAAUAUAGUAGAUAUUUUGUAUAUGUACAUAUAAAUUAGAUGGGUUU